ACCCGCUGAACUUAAGCAUAUCAAUAAGCGGAGGAAAAGAAACCAACAGGGAUUACCUCAGUAACGGCGAGUGAAGCGGUAACAGCUCAAAUUUGAAAGCUGCCAACAGGCCGCGUUGUAAUUUGUAGAAGCUGCUUUGGGUGUCGGCCCGGUCUAAGUUCCUUGGAACAGGACGUCAUAGAGGGUGAGAAUCCCGUAUGUGAUCGGUGCCGUUGCCCGUGUAAAGCGCUUUCGACGAGUCGAGUUGUUUGGGAAUGCAGCUCAAAAUGGGUGGUAAAUUUCAUCUAAAGCUAAAUAUUGGCCAGAGACCGAUAGCGCACAAGUAGAGUGAUCGAAAGAUGAAAAGCACUUUGGAAAGAGAGUUAAACAGUACGUGAAAUUGUUGAAAGGGAAGCGCUUGCAACCAGACUUGCGGGCGGUCGAUCAUCCGAGGUUCUCCCCGGUGCACUCGAUCGUUCUCAGGCCAGCAUCGGUUUCCGGGGUGGGAUAAAGGCGGUGGGAAUGUGGCUCUUCGGAGUGUUAUAGCCCACCGUGCAAUGCCGCCACUGGGGACCGAGGACCGCGCUUCGGCUAGGAUGCUGGCGUAAUGGUUGUAAGCGACCCGUCUUGAAACACGGACCAAGGAGUCUAACAUCUAUGCGAGUGUUUGGGUGUCAAACCCAUACGCGUAAUGAAAGUGAACGGAGGUAAGAGCCCUUUAGGGUGCAUUAUCGACCGAUCCUGAUGUCUUCGGAUGGAUUUGAGUAAGAGCAUAGCUGUUGGGACCCGAAAGAUGGUGAACUAUGCGUGAAUAGGGUGAAGCCAGAGGAAACUCUGGUGGAGGCUCGCAGCGGUUCUGACGUGCAAAUCGAUCGUCAAA
rnacentral:rRNA from 1 species